rnacentral:lncRNA from 1 species
GAUGUUUCUUGCUUGUCCUUUUGUAGGAAGAUCCACAGCUAUUAUCACUUAACCAGCAGACCUGAUUUCAUCUCAGAUACUGGAAGUCCUUUAACUCCAGGCAAGGAGUGGGCGGACUAAAAUUGCUAUUACACUAAGCCUGGCAAACGAAAUGGGUCUCUUUCUUCUCCCACAUUCAGUAGCAACUCAGCUGACAUCAACUUGGUUGCCUGUGAUUUACAACAGUGUGGGAGGAUAACAGAGCCCGUGUGUUUAAUAGGCUCUAGGUGCAGGUGGCCAGUCCUAUGUGAGGGGCUGGAUCUGAGACUUGCAAAGUAGCGCUGAUGAGCCACAGACCAGACAGCCUUUGGUAAUGAUGUUCCUGGAGGAGCAGAGUGCUGGGUCCUGGGAAGCAGGAGGAUGGGGUAUCAGUGACUGCUUAGGUUUCCCUACCUUCAGGAGAAGGACCCACCUACCUUGUGCUACUACUCAGUGGUAUUCACAUGGAGAACAUGAUGACUCUGUUUUGAGCUGGACCUUGUGAAAGCAGCGUGAAGACCAAGGCAAAAGGAGGCCACUAGAUCCUAGAGCCAUGGAGCUUCCCAGUUACAGCAAGCAGUUGCUGCAGCAGCUGUGCACCAUGCCAGGAGCAGCAGUUCUGCGAUUGCACCGUCUUCAUUGGGACUGUUCAUUUGAGAGCACACAAGAUUGUUUUGGCUGCUGCCAGUCUGCUUUUUAAAUCCUUGUUGGAUAGCACAGGCACCAUCUCCAUUGAUGCUUCUGUGGUGACACCUGAGGAGUUUGCGCUGUUGCUGGAGAUGAUGUACAUUGGCAAACUCCCGAUGGGGAAACACAACUUCAGCAAAGUCAU